GACGAACGCUGGCGGCGUGCUUAACACAUGCAAGUCGAGCGGUAAGGCCUUUCGGGGUACACGAGCGGCGAACGGGUGAGUAACACGUGGGUGAUCUGCUCUGCACUUCGGGAUAAGCCUGGGAAACUGGGUCUAAUACCGGAUAUGACCUCCUAUCGCAUGGUGGGUGGUGGAAAGAUUUAUCGGUGCAGGAUGGGCCCGCGGCCUAUCAGCUUGUUGGUGGGGUAAUGGCCUACCAAGGCGACGACGGGUAGCCGACCUGAGAGGGUGACCGGCCACACUGGGACUGAGACACGGCCCAGACUCCUACGGGAGGCAGCAGUGGGGAAUAUUGCACAAUGGGCGAAAGCCCGAUGCAGCGACGCCGCGUGGGGGAUGACGGCCUUCGGGUUGUAAACCUCUUGCAGCAGGGACGAAGCGCAAGUGACGGUACCUGCAGAAGAAGCACCGGCUAACUACGUG
rnacentral:rRNA from 1 species